AAAUAGAUACCCGGUAGUCCACACCGUAAACGUUGGGCGCUAGGUGUGGGCCUAUUCCAUGGGUUCCGUGCCGCAGCUAACGCAUUAAGCGCCCCGCCUGGGGAGUACGGCCGCAAGGCUAAAACCCAAAGGAAUUGACGGGGGCCCGCACAAGCGACGGAGCAUGCGGAUUAAUUCGGUGCAACGCGAAGAACCUUACCUGGGUUUGACAUACACCGGAAAGCGCCAGAGAUGGUGCCCCUUUUGUCGGUGUACAGGUGGUGCAUGGCUGUCGUCAGCUCGUGUCGUGAGAUGUUGGGUUAAGUCCCGCAACGAGCGCAACCCUCGUCCUAUGUUGCCAGCACGUUAUGGUGGGGACUCAUAGGAGACUGCCGGGGUCAACUCGGAGGAAGGUGGGGAUGACGUCAAGUCAUCAUGCCCCUUAUGUCCAGGGCUUCACGCAUGCUACAAUGGCCGGUACAAAAGGCUGCGAUGCUGUAAGGCGGAGCGAAUCCCAAAAAGCCGGUCUCAGUUCGGAUUGGGGUCUGCAACUCGACCCC
rnacentral:rRNA from 1 species